AAUGAACGUUGGCGGCGUGGAUUAGGCAUGCAAGUCGCGCGAGAAGUCAUUUAGCUUGCUAAAAGACGGACAGCGGCGGAAGGGAGAGUAACGCGUGGUUAUGUACCCUCGAGACCGGGAUAGUGUCGGGAAACUGGCAGUAAUACCGGAUAACAUCUUCGGAUCAAAUGGUGUGAUUCCGCUCGAGGAUCGGACCGCGUACUAUUAGCUAGUUGGAGGGGUAAUGGCCCACCAAGGCUUAGAUGGUUACCGGGUGUGAGAGCAUGGCCCGGCUCGCUGGGACUGAGACACUGCCCAGACAUCUACGGAUGGCUGCAGUCGAGAAUCUUCGGCAAUGGACGAAAGUCUGACCGAGCGACGCCGCGUGGGGGACGAAGGCCUUCGGGUUGUAAACCGCUGUCAGUUAGGAGGAAAUCCAUGAGGGUUCUCUCUCAUGGUUGACCGAUUUUCAGAGGAAGGACGGGCUAAGUUCGUGCCAGCAGCCGCCGUAACAC
rnacentral:rRNA from 1 species